rnacentral:rRNA from 1 species
AGUGAACGCUGGCGGUAGGCCUAACACAUGCAAGUCGAACGGCAGCACAGUAAGAGCUUGCUCUUACGGGUGGCGAGUGGCGGACGGGUGAGGAAUACAUCGGAAUCUACUUUUUUGUGGGGGAUAACGUAGGGAAACUUACGCUAAUACGGCAUACGACCUACGGGUGAAAGCAGGGGAUCUUCGGACCUUGCGCGAUUGAAUGAGCCGAUGUCGGAUUAGCUAGUUGGCGGGGUAAAGGCCCACCAAGGCGACGAUCCGUAGCUGGUCUGAGAGGAUGAUCAGCCACACUGGAACUGAGACACGGUCCAGACUCCUACGGGAGGCAGCAGUGGGGAAUAUUGGACAAUGGGCGCAAGCCUGAUCCAGCCAUACCGCGUGGGUGAAGAAGGCCUUCGGGUUGUAAAGCCCUUUUGUUGGGAAAGAAAAGCAGCAGGUUAAUACCCCGCUGUUCUGACGGUACCCAAAGAAUAAGCACCGGCUAACUUCGUG